GGAGAGUUGAAGAAACAAAGAAAAAAGAAGACACUUUGGAAGAAAAACAAAGGGCCAAUUUCGGCCAAGCUUGGAGGAAACAAGAACCUUGGAAAAAUUUCUCAAAAAUUACUCUCUACUAAUUGAAAGGUCCCUAGCAAGGAGAAGAGGUCAUUGGAACAAGUAGAACAUUUAUUGUUGCAAGAUCAACAUUCUAGCCAAGUGGGAAAUUGAAGAAAAAGGAUUUUGGCGGAUUUGGAACGUGAAUUUGGAGUCGCAUAAGAAGCAGAAAAGGUACACCAGAUGAGCCACAGCUAUCAUAGAAGAUGUUCCAGCGGAGUUGGCAGGCUCCACUUGUUCUGGAGUGCUGCCGAGUCAGAGUGUCUGAGCCAUGAUGUUUGUUUGAUGUUAGAGACUUUGCAGACAGAGUCGUGGGUAUAGAGUGUCGAUAAUAUGUUGUAUCAUAAAGUCCAUGUGAUUGCAGAUUCUGUUUGACUUGAGUACGAUGGAAAAAAAAAAUCUCUUGAAAGUUU